GCUCAGUUAGUUAGGCAUCUGACUCUUGAUUUCCACUCAAGUCAUGAUCUCACAGUUCGUGAGUUCAAACCCCGCAUUGGGCU
rnacentral:tRNA from 1 species